GGGGUUGUAGCUCAGUGGUAGAGCCCUUGCUUUGUAUGCAUGAGGCCCUGGUUCCAUCCUCAGCGCCA
rnacentral:tRNA from 1 species